rnacentral:rRNA from 1 species
UCAGGAGUGCCCUUCGGGGAACUGUAAGACAGGUGGUGGCAUGGUUGUCGUCAGCUCGUGUCGUGAGAUGUUGGGUUAAGUCCGCAACGAGCGCAACCCUAUGUUAGUUGCUAGCGAGUAAGGUCGAGCACUCUAGACAGACUGCCGGUGAUAAACCGGAGGAAGGUGGGGGAUGACGUCAAAUCAUCAUGCCCCUUAUGUUCUGGGCUACACACGUGCUACAAUGGCCGGUACAAACGGAAGCGAAGCCGCGAGGUGAAGCAAAUCUGAUAAAACCGGUCUCAGUUCGGAUUGCAGGCUGCAACUCGCCUGCAUGAAGUCGGAAUCGCUAGUAAUCGCAGGUCAGCAUACUGCGGUGAAUACGGUUCCCGGGCCUU